rnacentral:rRNA from 1 species
AUCAACGCUGGCGGCGUGCCUAAUGCAUGCAAGUCGAACGGGGUCUUCUUCGGAGGACUUACGUGGCGGACGGGUGAGGACCACGUGGGCAAUCUGCCGUCGGGUGGGGGAUAGCUCUCGGAAACGGGAGGUAAUUCCGCAUGAGCGCAUCGACCGAGUGGGGCCGAUGCGGAAAGGGUCUUCGGACUCGCCGGACGAGGAGCCUGCGUCCGAUUAGCUGGUUGGUGGGGUCACGGCCUACCAAGGCGAUGAUCGGUCGCUGAUCUGAGAGGAUGAUCAGCCACAUGGGGACUGAGACACGGCCCCAACUCCUACGGGAGGCAGCAGCAAGGAAUUUUCCGCAAUGGGCGAAAGCCUGACGGAGCAACGCCGCGUGCAGGAUGACGCUUUUCGGAGUGUAAACUGCUGUUCGGGGGGACGAAGCACUGACGGUACCCCCGGAGGAAGGCCCGGCUAACUACGU